rnacentral:rRNA from 1 species
GGGACACGUGGUAUCCUGUCUGAAUAUGGGGGGACCAUCCUCCAAGGCUAAAUACUCCUGACUGACCGAUAGUGAACCAGUACCGUGAGGGAAAGGCGAAAAGAACCCCGGCGAGGGGAGUGAAAAAGAACCUGAAACCGUGUACGUACAAGCAGUGGGAGCACAGGUUUACCUGUGUGACUGCGUACCUUUUGUAUAAUGGGUCAGCGACUUAUAUUCUGUAGCAAGGUUAACCGUAUAGGGGAGCCGGAGGGAAACCGAGUCUUAAUUGGGCGUUAAGUUGCAGGGUAUAGACCCGAAACCCGGUGAUCUAGCCAUGGGCAGGUUGAAGGUUGGGUAACACUAACUGGAGGACCGAACCGACUAAUGUUGAAAAAUUAGCGGAUGACCUGUGGCUGGGGGUGAAAGGCCAAUCAAACCGGGAGAUAGCUGGUUCUCCCCGAAAGCUAUUUAGGUAGCGCCUCGUGAAUUCAUCUCCGGGGGUAGAGCACUGUUUCGGCUAGGGGGCCAUCCCGGCUUACCAACCCGAUGCAAACUGCGAAUACCGGAGAAUGUUAUCACGGGAGACACACGGCGGGUGCUAACGUCCGUCGUGAAGAGGGAAACAACCCAGACCGCCAGCUAAGGUCCCAAAGUCAUGGUUAAGUGGGAAACGAUGUGGGAAGGCCCAGACAGCCAGGAUGUUGGCUUAGAAGCAGCCAUCAUUUAAAGAAAGCGUAAUAGCUCACUGGUCGAGUCGGCCUGCGCGGAAGAUGUAACGGGGCUAAACCAUGCACCGAAGCUGCGGCAGCGACGCUUAUGCGUUGUUGGGUAGGGGAGCGUUCUGUAAGCCGUUGAAGGUGGCCUGUGAGGGUUGCUGGAGGUAUCAGAAGUGCGAAUGCUGACAUAAGUAACGAUAAAGCGGGUGAAAAGCCCGCUCGCCGGAAGACCAAGGGUUCCUGUCCAACGUUAAUCGGGGCAGGGUGAGUCGACCCCUAAGGCGAGGCCGAAAGGCGUAGUCGAUGGGAAACGGGUUAAUAUUCCCGUACUUGGUGUUACUGCGAAGGGGGGACGGAGAAGGCUAUGUUGGCCGGGCGACGGUUGUCCCGGUU